UACGAAGGAUGCGAGCGUUAUCCGGAUUUAUUGGGUUUAAAGGGAGCGUAGGCGGUCUUAUAAGUCAGUGGUGAAAUCUCGUUGCUUAACAACGAACGUGCCAUUGAUACUGUAGGUCUUGAGUACAGAUGCCGUUGGCGGAAUGUGUCAUGUAGCGGUGAAAUGCAUAGAUAUGACACAGAACACCGAUUGCGAAGGCAGCUGACGAAACUGUAACUGACGCUGAGGCACGAAAGCGUGGGGAUCAAACAGG
rnacentral:rRNA from 1 species